GCACACUAACAUUUUUUAGGUUUUCAUCAGAGGUUAAACCUGUAUCAACUGAGUACCUUCUAAAUAUGUGAAUUCUCUGUAGUUUUCAGCAGAGGUACCUGGGACCUCCUAGAAUCAGACUGUAAAGCUCUAAGCUGCAAAUGAAGUGUUGUCUUCCUUCCUGAGGUGACCAUGGGUUUUUUGAGAGGAAAAGAAAAAAAAAGAAGAAGACUAAGCAAUUAGUCACUAGUUGUAUUUGCUUUGUGUCAGGGAUAGUGGCAGUAAAACAGUUAAUCAUCUCCUCCUUUUCACUUUGACACCUCAAGUUAGAGCGUUAAUGAAAAAAACCCCAUCAAUUAGUUAGGGUGCAUGAGGUUCUUCAACUGCAGUUGUUUCUAGCAAUGAAAAGGAAUGUAUAUGUUUUGGUCAUGCUUCUGUAUAUUUUUGGCAAGUAUAAAUUCCACCCCGUUGUAAAGCUUAGGAAGAGGCUAACAAAAUCUGUGCGAAAUGAGUUUAAUUGUCUUCAGAAGCUGUUUGUAUUUUGCUGUUUUAUAUGGAGCUGCAGUCAGUGCCAUGCUGGAACUCAAGAAAAGUAUACAUAAAAUAAUCAUCCUCUCCAUACUGAUGAGUUUUGGUUUAAAAUGUGCCAGGAGCAAUGUUGUGCUAUUCAAAAUGAACACUUCAGUUUGAGCUGUGCUCAGGUGCAUGUAUGCAAGUUUGUGCGUAGGGGGCAGGGAUUGAUGGAGUGAACAAAAUAUGCGCCAUCUGCACAUUGAACAGGAAAAAAGAAAAAGCAAGUCUCUCCAAUCCAUUUGAAGUUCUUACGUACCAUGCUGGAGAAAUACAACGAUAUUGCUUUGUGGCUCCAAGGGUUGGUUGUUAGCUAGUUUCCCUAAUGUCUAUGAACUGCCACUUUCACAUUCUUAGCUUGGUUUCUGCAACAGCUGUGACUAAAAGCUCAUCUUAACAUUUAAGCCAGCUGAAGGUUGCUUUAUAUUUACUUAGAACCAGGACCAGAUGUUUUAGCAGGAUCUUAGAGUGUGUGUCCACUGGGGGUGAAAGCU